rnacentral:rRNA from 1 species
GGUGGAAAGUUUUUCGGUGCAGGAUGAGCCCGCGGCCUAUCAGCUUGUUGGUGGGGUAAUGGCCUACCAAGGCGUCGACGGGUAGCCGGCCUGAGAGGGUGGACGGCCACAUUGGGACUGAGACACGGCCCAAACUCCUACGGGAGGCAGCAGUGGGGAAUAUUGCACAAUGGGCGCAAGCCUGAUGCAGCGACGCCGCGUGGGGGAUGACGGCCUUCGGGUUGUAAACUCCUUUCAACCAUGACGAAGCUUUUUGUGACGGUAGUGGUAGAAGAAGCACCGGCUAACUACGUGCCAGCAGCCGCGGUAAUACGUAGGGUGCGAGCGUUGUCCGGAAUUACUGGGCGUAAAGAGCUCGUAGGUGGUUUGUCGCGUCGUCUGUGAAAUUCCGGGGCUUAACUCCGGGCGUGCAGGCGAUACGGGCAUAACUUGAGUACUGUAGGGGAGACUGGAAUUCCUGGUGUAGCGGUGAAAUGCGCAGAUAUCAGGAGGAACACCGAUGGCGAAGGCAGGUCUCUGGGCAGUUACUGACGCUGAGGAGCGAAAGCAUGGGUAGCGAACAGGAUUAGAUACCCUGGUAGUCCAUGCCGUAAACGGUGGGCGCUAGGUGUGGGGGUCUUCCACGACUUCCGUGCCGUAGCUAACGCAUUAAGCGCCCCGCCUGGGGAGUACGGCCGCAAGGCUAAAACUCAAAGGAAUUGACGGGGGCCCGCACAAGCGGCGGAGCAUGUGGAUUAAUUCGAUGCAACGCGAAGAACCUUACCUGGGCUUGACAUAUGCAGGAUCGGCACAGAGAUGUGUUUUCCCUUGUGGUCUGUAUACAGGUGGUGCAUGGUUGUCGUCAGCUCGUGUCGUGAGAUGUUGGGUCAAGUCCCGCAACGAGCGCAACCCUUGUCUUGUGUUGCCAGCACGUUAUGGUGGGGACUCGCGAGAGACUGCCGGGGUUAACUCGGAGGAAGGUGGGGAUGACGUCAAAUCAUCAUGCCCCUUAUGUCCAGGGCUUCACACAUGCUACAAUGGUCGGUACAGUGGGUUGCUACACCGUGAGGUGGUGCUAAUCCCUUUAAAGCCGGUCUCAGUUCGGAUUGGAGUCUGCAACUCGACUCCAUGAAGUCGGAGUCGCUAGUAAUCGCAGAUCAGCAACGCGCG